rnacentral:lncRNA from 1 species
GCUAGCACCUUGGAGCACCUGCUGUGGUAACGAAUGAGCAUAGAUGAACAAUGUUGCAUCACGCUUGACAUCACCGGGGCUUCUUUCCAGUGUGGAUUUGCUCAUGUAAAAUGAGGUGUGAGCUCUGCCUGAAAGCUUUUCCAUAUGCAUCACAUUUGCAGGGCUUUUCUCCAGUGUGGGUUCUUUGGUGUCUCAAAAGAUGUGAGCUGUUACUGAAAGCUUUCCCACACACAUCACACUCAUAGGGCUUCUCUCUACCGUGGAUUCGCUGGUGUCCAACAAGAGCUGAACUGUAUCUGAAGGCCUUUCCACGCUUGUCACAUUCAUAUAGUUUCUUUCCACUGUGGAUUUUCUGGUGACAGAAGAGGCCCAAGCACUAGCUAAAGCUUUUCCCUCACUCACUACACUGCUAUGGCUUCUCUUCAGUAUGAACUCUGAUGUUGUCUCAGAUAUGAACUCAGAGAGGAUUUCC